GUUGUAUGGUUAAGUGACUAAGCGUACACGGUGGAUGCCUUGGCAGUCAGAGGCGAUGAAAGACGUAGUAACUUGCGAUAAGCCCAGAUUAGGUAGUAACAACCAUUUGAGUCUGGGAUUUCUGAAUGGGGAAACCCACGUGCAUAAGCACGUAUCCUUACCUGAAUACAUAGGGUAAGGAGGCGAACCGGGGGAACUGAAACAUCUAAGUACCCCGAGGAAAAGAAAUCAACCGAGAUUCCGAAAGUAGCGGCGAGCGAAAUUGGACUAGCCCUUAAGCUUUACACGCGUUAGACGAACGGUCUGGAAAGUCCGACGAUACAGGGUGAUAGUCCCGUAGUUGACGACGUGUGUUCAGUGAAAUCGAGUAGGGCGGGACACGUGAUAUCCUGUCUGAAUAUGGGGGGACCAUCCUCCAAGGCUAAAUACUACUGACUGACCGAUAGUGAACCAGUACCGUGAGGGAAAGGCGAAAAGAACCCCUGUGAGGGGAGUGAAAUAGAACCUGAAACCGUGUACGUACAAGCAGUAGGAGCAGGCUUUGUCCUGUGACUGCGUACCUUUUGUAUAAUGGGUCAGCGACUUAUAUUCAGUGGCAAGGUUAACCAUCUAGGGGAGCCGUAGGGAAACCGAGUCUUAACUGGGCGUUCAGUCUCUGGAUAUAGACCCGAAACCAGGUGAUCUAGCCAUGGGCAGGUUGAAGGUUGAGUAACAUCAACUGGAGGACCGAACCGACUAAUGUUGAAAAAUUAGCGGAUGACUUGUGGCUAGGGGUGAAAGGCCAAUCAAACCUGGAGAUAGCUGGUUCUCCCCGAAAGCUAUUUAGGUAGCGCCUCGGACGAAUACUACUGGGGGUAGAGCACUGUUAAGGCUAGGGGGUCAUCCCGACUUACCAACCCGAUGCAAACUGCGAAUACCGGAGAAUGUUAUCACGGGAGACACACGGCGGGUGCUAACGUCCGUCGUGGAGAGGGAAACAACCCAGACCGCCAGCUAAGGUCCCAAAUUACUACUAAGUGGGAAACGAUGUGGGAAGGCUCAGACAGCCAGGAUGUUGGCUUAGAAGCAGCCAUCAUUUAAAGAAAGCGUAAUAGCUCACUGGUCGAGUCGGCCUGCGCGGAAGAUGUAACGGGGCUAAGUAGUAAACCGAAGCUGCGGCAAUAUACUUUUGUAUAUUGGGUAGGGGAGCGUUCUGUAAGCGGUUGAAGGUGUGUGGUAACGCAUGCUGGACGUAUCAGAAGUGCGAAUGCUGACAUGAGUAACGAUAAAGGGGGUGAAAAACCUCCUCGCCGGAAGACCAAGGGUUCCUGUCCAACGUUAAUCGGGGCAGGGUAAGUCGACCCCUAAGGCGAGGCCGAAAGGCGUAGUCGAUGGGAAACGGGUUAAUAUUCCCGUACUUCUUACAAUUGCGAUGGGGGGACGGAGAAGGCUAGGUGGGCCUGGCGACGGUUGUCCAGGUUCAAGUGCGUAGGCUUAAGAGUUAGGUAAAUCCGGCUCUUUCUAAGGCUGAGACACGACGUCGAGCACCUACGGGUGUGAAGUCAUUGAUGCCAUGCUUCCAGGAAAAGCCUCUAAGCUUCAGAUUGUAAGGAAUCGUACCCCAAACCGACACAGGUGGUCGGGUAGAGAAUACCAAGGCGCUUGAGAGAACUCGGGUGAAGGAACUAGGCAAAAUGGUACCGUAACUUCGGGAGAAGGUACGCUCUUGAUGGUGAAGUCCCUUGCGGAUGGAGCUGACGAGAGUCGCAGAUACCAGGUGGCUGCAACUGUUUAUUAAAAACACAGCACUGUGCAAAAUCGUAAGAUGACGUAUACGGUGUGACGCCUGCCCGGUGCCGGAAGGUUAAUUGAUGGGGUCAGCGCAAGUCGAAGCUCUUGAUCGAAGCCCCGGUAAACGGCGGCCGUAACUAUAACGGUCCUAAGGUAGCGAAAUUCCUUGUCGGGUAAGUUCCGACCUGCACGAAUGGCGUAAUGAUGGCCACGCUGUCUCCACCCGAGACUCAGUGAAAUUGAAAUCGCUGUGAAGAUGCAGUGUACCCGCGGCUAGACGGAAAGACCCCGUGAACCUUUACUACAGCUUGGCACUGAACAUUGACCCUACAUGUGUAGGAUAGGUGGGAGGCUUUGAAGCACGUACGCCAGUAUGUGUGGAGCCGUCCUUGAAAUACCACCCUUGUAGUGUUGAUGUUCUAACGUCGACCCCUUAUCGGGGUUGCGGACAGUGCCUGGUGGGUAGUUUGACUGGGGCGGUCUCCUCCCAAAGAGUAACGGAGGAGCACGAAGGUGGGCUAAUCACGGUUGGACAUCGUGAGGUUAGUGCAAUGGCAUAAGCCCGCUUGACUGCGAGAAUGACAAUUCGAGCAGGUGCGAAAGCAGGUCAUAGUGAUCCGGUGGUUCUGAAUGGAAGGGCCAUCGCUCAACGGAUAAAAGGUACUCCGGGGAUAACAGGCUGAUACCGCCCAAGAGUUCAUAUCGACGGCGGUGUUUGGCACCUCGAUGUCGGCUCAUCACAUCCUGGGGCUGAAGUCGGUCCCAAGGGUAUGGCUGUUCGCCAUUUAAAGUGGUACGCGAGCUGGGUUUAGAACGUCGUGAGACAGUUCGGUCCCUAUCUGCCGUGGGCGUUGGAAGAUUGAAGGGGGCUGCUCCUAGUACGAGAGGACCGGAGUGGACGAACCUCUGGUGUUCGGGUUGUGUCGCCAGACGCAUUGCCCGGUAGCUAAGUUCGGAAUCGAUAACCGCUGAAAGCAUCUAAGCGGGAAGCGAGCCCUGAGAUGAGUCUUCCCUGAUACUUUAAGUAUCCUAAAGGGUUGUCGGAGACUACGACGUUGAUAGGUCAGGUGUGUAAGUGCUGUGAGGCAUUGAGCUAACUGAUACUAAUUGCCCGUGAGGCUUAACCAUACAACACCCAAGGGGUUU
rnacentral:rRNA from 1 species